UACAGAGGGUGCAAGCGUUAGUCGGAAUUACUGGGCGUAAAGCGUGCGUAGACGGUUAUUUAAGUCAGGUGUGAAAGCCCGGGCUCGAACCUGGGAAUUGGCAUUUGACGACUAGAAUAGCUAGGGUGCGGAAGAGGGAAGCGGAAUUUCCGGUGUAGCGGUGAAAAUGCGUAGAUAUCUGGAGGAAUACCGGUGGCGAAGGCGGCAUCCUGGACCGGCAUUGACGCUGAGGCGCGAAAGCCAGGGGAGCAA
rnacentral:rRNA from 1 species